AAUGAACGCUGGCGGCGCGCCUAAUACAUGCAAGUCGAGCGAGAAGACGUAGCAAUACGUUUGUAAAGCGGCGAACGGGUGAGGAAUACAUGGGUAACCUACCCUCGAGUGGGGAAUAACUAGCCGAAAGGUUAGCUAAUACCGCGUACGCUUCUUGGACUUCGGUUCAGGGAGGAAAGCGAUGCCGAGGGUAUCGCGCUCUUGGAUGGGCUCAUGUCCUAUCAGCUUGUUGGGAGGUAACGGCUCACCAAGGCUUCGACGGGUAGCUGGUCUGAGAGGAUGAUCAGCCACACUGGGACUGAGACACGGCCCAGACUCCUACGGGAGGCAGCAGUGGGGAAUAUUGGACAAUGGGCGAAAGCCUGAUCCAGCAAUGCCGCGUGUGUGAAGAAGGCCU
rnacentral:rRNA from 1 species